rnacentral:rRNA from 1 species
CAGUAGCCGCGGUAAUACGAAGGGGGCUAGCGUUGUUCGGAAUCACUGGGCGUAAAGGGUGCGUAGGCGGAUUCUUAAGUCAGGGGUGAAAUCCCGAGGCUCAACCUCGGAACUGCCUUUGAUACUGGGGAUCUUGAGUCCGGAAGAGGUGAGUGGAACUGCGAGUGUAGAGGUGAAAUUCGUAGAUAUUCGCAAGAACACCAGUGGCGAAGGCGGCUCACUGGUCCGGAACUGACGCUGAGGCACGACAGCGUGGGGAGCAAACAGGAUUAGAUACCCCAGUAGUCCCUGUCUCUUAUAC